GUAGGUGGCAAGCGUUGUCCGGAAUUAUUGGGCGUAAAGCGCGCGCAGGCGGUUCUUUAAGUCUGAUGUGAAAGCCCACGGCUCAACCGUGGAGGGUCAUUGGAAACUGGAGAACUUGAGUACAGAAGAGGAAAGCGGAAUUCCACGUGUAGCGGUGAAAUGCGUAGAGAUGUGGAGGAACACCAGUGGCGAAGGCGGCUUUCUGGUCUGUAACUGACGCUGAGGCGCGAAAGCGUGGGGAGCAAACAGGAUUAGAUACCCUGGUAGUCCACGCCGUAAACGAUGAGUGCUAAGUGUUAGGGGGGUUUUCCGCCCCCCUUAGUGCUGCAGCUAACGCAUUAAGCACUCCGCCUGGGGAGUACGGCCGCAAGGCUG
rnacentral:rRNA from 1 species